GCGUCAAUGUUGGUAUGUCAUAGUCCCCUGUGACGCGUAGGCCCUAUCACAGCCAACCUUGAUGAGCCU
rnacentral:pre_miRNA from 1 species